rnacentral:rRNA from 1 species
GACGGACGGUGCAAGCGUUGCUCGGAAUCACUGGGCGUAAAGGGUGCGUAGGCGGCCGUGCAAGUCUGGCGUGAAAGCCCCGGGCUCAGCCCGGGAAGUGCGCUCGAAACUGCGCGGCUCGAGUGCCGGAGGGGAGAGUGGAAUUCCUGGUGUAGCGGUGAAAUGCGUAGAUAUCAGGAGGAAUACCGGUGGCGAAAGCGGGUUGCUGGGCCGACACUGACGCUGAGGCGCGAAAGCUAGGGGAGCGAACGGG